UUUUGCUAGGGGUGCCAUGUAGCUGAGAUGAAAUUUAAUUUCUAUCCCUUAAUACUUGAACCAGAUAAUACUGGCGUAAGGAAGCAACAUU
rnacentral:ncRNA from 1 species